rnacentral:tRNA from 2 species
AAGAUAUUAGUAAAAACAUUACAUAACUUUGUCAAAGUUAAUUUAUAGGUUAGACUCCUUUAUAUCUUU